rnacentral:rRNA from 1 species
GCCGAAGACGUGAUGUGGAGCGAAAUAAAGUAGUGAAGCGUGUGAGCCAUGUGCCGAGAAAAGCUGCUAUUGUGUAAUGCGUGCCCGUACCGUAAACCGACACAGGUGGAUGAGGAGAGAAUCCUAAGGCCGACGGAAGAAGCAUUGUUAAGGAAUUCGGCAAAAUGACCCCGUAACUUCGGGAGAAGGGGUGCCUGCGAGAGCAGGCCGCAGAGAAUAGGCUCAAGCAACUGUUUAGCAAAAACACAGGUCUAUGCGAAACCGAAAGGUGAAGUAUAUGGGCUGACGCCUGCCCGGUGCUGGAAGGUUAAGAGGAGAGGUUAGCGUAAGCGAAGCCUUGAAUUUAAGCCCCAGUAAACGGCGGCCGUAACUAUAACGGUCCUAAGGUAGCGAAAUUCCUUGUCGGGUAAGUUCCGACCCGCACGAAAGGCGUAAUGAUUUGAGCACUGUCUCGACAAUGCAUCCGGUGAAAUUGAGGUACCAGUGAAGAUGCUGGUUACCCGCGCCAGGACGGAAAGACCCCAUGGAGCUUUACUCCAGUUUGAUACUGGGAUUCGGUACUGCAUGUACAGGAUAGGUGGGAGACGAAGAAGGAUGGACGCCAGUCUGUCCGGAGUCGCUGUUGGGAUACCACCCCUGUAGUACUGGGUUUCUAACCAGUUGCCAUGAACUGGCAAUGGGACAAUGUCAGGCGGGGAGUUUGACUGGGGCGGUCGCCUCCGAAAGGGUAUCGGAGGCGCUCAAAGGUUCCCUCAGAAUGGUUGGAAACCAUUUGAAGAGUGCAAAGGCAGAAGGGAGCUUGACUGCGACACCGACGGGUGGAGCAGGUACGAAAGUAGGACUUAGUGAUCCGGUGGUAUAAAGUGGGAUUGCCAUCGCUCAACGGAUAAAAGCUACCCUGGGAUAACAGGCUUAUCACUCCCAAGAGUUCACAUCGACGGAGUGGUUUGGCACCUCGAUGUCGGCUCAUCGCAUCCUGGGGCUGUAGCAGGUCCCAAGGGUUGGGCUGUUCGCCCAUUAAAGCGGUACGCGAGCUGGGUUCAGAACGUCGUGAGACAGUUCGGUCCCUAUCCGGCGCGGGCGGAGGAUAUUUGAGAGGAGCUGUCCUUAGUACGAGAGGACCGGGAUGGACGGACCACUGGUGUAUCUGUUGUCGACCAACGGCAUGGCAGAGUAGCCAAGUCUGGAAGGGAUAAACGCUGAAGGCAUCUAAGCGUGAAGCCCCCCUCAAGAUGAGAUAUCCCUCCUUCGGGAGUAAGACCCCUUGAAGACUACAAGGUAGAUAGGGCAGAGGUGGAAGCAUGGCAACAUGUGGAGCUGACUGUUACUAAUAGGUCGAGGGCUUAAU